CUGGCGGCGUGCCUAACACAUGCAAGUCGAGCGGCAGCGCGGGGGCAACCCUGGCGGCGAGCGGCGGACGGGUGAGCAAAAUUUGGGAAUCUGCCUAUUAGUGGGGGACAACCCAGGGAAACACGGGCUAAUACCGCAUACGCACUACGGGGGAAAAGCCGGGGACCGCAAGGCCUGGAGCUAAUAGAUGAGCCCAAAUCGGAUUAGCUAGUUGGUGAGGUAAUGGCUCAACAAGGCAACGAUCCGUAGCUGGUCAGAGAGGACGACCAGCCACACCGGAACUGAGACAGGGUCCGGACUCCUACGGGAGGCAGCAGUGGGGCUAUUGGACAAUAGCCGAAAGCCUGAUCCAGCGACGCCGCGUGGGUGAAGAAGGCCGGCGGGUUGUAAAGCCCUACGGUGGGGAAGAAAAGCCUCGACCUAACACGUCGGGGUCUUGACGUAACCCAUAGAAGAAGCACCGACUAACUCUGUGCCAGCAGCAGCGGUAAUACAGAGGGUGCGAGCGUUAAUCGGAAUUACUGGGCGUAAAGCGCGAGUAGGCGGCUUUGCAAGUCGGAUGUGAAAUCCCCAGGCUUAACCUGGGAACUGCAUUCGAGACUGCAUUGCUAGAGUAUGGGAU
rnacentral:rRNA from 1 species